GCUUGCUUUGGCAACACAUAUACUAAAAUUGGAAUGAUACAGAAAAGAUUAGCAUGGCCCCUGUGCAAGGAAGACACACAAAUUUGUGAAGCAUUUCAUUGUUUU
ensembl:snRNA U6 U6 spliceosomal RNA